rnacentral:misc_RNA from 1 species
CAUGGCAUUUGCAUGGGAGAGUCCUAAAGUGGACGUGAGAAUUGUCAUGGGCAAUUGGAGUGGCGCACAUGGGACUUUAGUGGAGUACAUGUGGCGCUUGGGCAUGGCAUGGCUAUGUGAGAGUAUGGUCAUGGGGCGCACUAUGGUGUGGUUCACGUGAGGAUGGAAAUUGCAUGGCUUGGUUUCACGUGGAGCUUGGCAAGUUUGCAUGGAAUGGUGGUAGUGGAAUUUGCCACGUGAGCUAAGUGGCCAAAAGAUGUGCCGCCCAUUGUGAUGCUUGUGUUCAGUGCAUGUGAGACGCACUAAAAUUGGCCAAGUGGAGAGCAUGUGCCUUGUGAGUGGAGGGUCACAUGAAAGUGGCCUAAUGUGUUUGUGAUGGUGAUACACAAGUGCAGCGCACUAAGUGGCCUAAUGGGGCAAGUGUUGCGGCAAGAUGGGAUCACAUGGGCUUAGUGGGCCAAGUGGCAUGGUUGAAAUGCCAUGUAGCGUGAAGCCAUGUGUGGCGCACCAUAAUUGGCAAAUAAAUCCAUGCAUGAGAUGAGUGACCAUGCAAUGUAGCGUGAAGCCAAGAAAGGCCAAGUGAAGUGUGGCGCACCAUGGUGAGCCGCAUGCAUGGGGAGGUAUCAUGUGGAGCCUUGGGACGUGGAAAAACUGCAUGUGCAUUAGAAGUGCACA